AGUUGGUGUGUGUCUGUGUGUGUGUGUGUGUGUACACACACACACACACACACACACACACUGGCCUG